rnacentral:rRNA from 1 species
CAGCCGCCACGGUAAUGCGAAGGGGGCUAGCGUUGCUCGGAAUGACUGGGCGUAAAGGGCGCGUAGGCGGUUUAUACAGUCAGAUGUGAAAUUCCUGGGCUCAGCCUGGGGACUGCAUUUGAUACGUAUGGACUUGAGUGGAGAAGAGGGUCGUGGAAUUUCCAGUGUAGAGGUGAAAUUCGUAGAUAUUGGAAAGAACACCGGUGGCGAAGGCGGCGACCUGGUCUUUAACUGACGCUGAGGCGCGAAAGCGUGGGGAGCAAACAGGAUUAGAUACCCCCGUAGUCCCUGUCUCUUAUAC